rnacentral:lncRNA from 1 species
AAUAAUGUGUCCAUCCCGUUAUUUUAAAUCAGAAAGCCAUAAAAUUUUAACAUAGCAAACCAAAUUGGCCGUUGCAGUUUUCUCCUAUUGAUAGUACUACAAGUGGUGCGAGUUAGGUUUUAUAACUUUAAGAUGGUACAAAAUAUCUCAUAGGACUUUAGGGGAGUCAAAGGAAUAUAUCAGCUCUUUACAUGCAGCUUCAUAGCUUGAACUAGGCAAUGGAUUAUCUAUUGAUAUCAGUUUAUUGAACAUGUCAACAACAGGUAACAAACAGGGCCGGCUUAAUAUAUACAAGGGCCAGGCCCGUCUCAAUGAUCAUUUAGACCUUGGGCUGAAAAAAUAUUAGGGCCUUUUUUUAAGGAAAAGAAAAAUAAUUGAACCCUUUUAUGUAAAAAUAAUAAAAAUUAAAAAAAAAAUUGGGCCUCAUCUAACCUUAAAAAUUAGAAAAAAUUAUAAUGGACCGUGUGCAAAUGCACUUCCAGCACAGGGUCAGAGCCGGGCCUGACAAGGGUCCUUGGACAAAAAAAGUUUUAAAGCCCUACAGUAAGUUAAUUUGUUAACGCUGGUAAAAAUUCCUUUAUGACUCGAGCAUCAAACAUUUAUAUAUAUAUAUUCUCUUAGAUAAUUUAACUAGAAGAAAAUGUGAUUAAACGUUUUAAUACUGUUCAAAUCUAAAUCAGAUAUGCUAAUGAAGACAAUUAGGACCCUUAAUAUUGUAAAAUUUGAACCGGAUCCGGGGCGGUCACACCGUCCGCACUCUCUAUUGAGCCGGCACUGGUAACAAAUUUUGAAAAUAAACCUAUAAAAGCAUUUUC